rnacentral:rRNA from 1 species
AUUGAACGCUGGCGGCAGGCCUAAUACAUGCAAGUCGAACGAGUGGCGGACGGGUGAGUAAUGUCUGGGAAACUGCCCGAUGGAGGGGGAUAACUACUGGAAACGGUAGCUAAUAUCGCAUACCAUCGGAUGGGUCCAGAUGGGAUUAGAUAGUAGGUGGGGUAACGGCUCACCCAGGCGACGAUCCCCAGCUGGUCUGGGAGAAUGACCAGCCACACUGGAACUGAGACACGGUCCAGACUCCUACGGGAGGCAUCAGUGGGGAAUAUUGCACAAUGGGCGCAAGCCUGAGGCAGCCAUGCCGCGUGUAUGAUGAAGGCCUUCGGGUUGUAAAGUACUUUCAGCGAGGAGGCGUUACUCGCAGAAGAAGCACCGGCUAACUCCGUGCCAGCAGCCGCGGUAAUUC